ACCCAGUGAGGAGGAUCUCCCAUUAAUUGAUAGGAAGUGCCGUAUGAUACUAUAAACAACAACGCUGUG